GAUGAACGCUGGCGGCGUGCUUAACACAUGCAAGUCGAACGAAGCACUCUAUUUGAUUUUCUUCGGAAAUGAAGAUUUUGUGACUGAGUGGCGGACGGGUGAGUAACGCGUGGGUAACCUGCCUCAUACAGGGGGAUAACAGUUGGAAACGACUGCUAAUACCGCAUAAGCGCACAGUAUCGCAUGAUACAGUGUGAAAAACUCCGGUGGUAUGAGAUGGACCCGCGUCUGAUUAGCUAGUUGGGGGGGCAACGGCCUACCAAGGCGACGAUCAGUAGCCGACCUGAGAGGGUGACCGGCCACAUUGGGACUGAGACACGGCCCAAACUCCUACGGGAGGCAGCAGUGGGGAAUAUUGCACAAUGGGGGAAACCCUGAUGCAGCGACGCCGCGUGAACGAAGAAGUAUUUCGGUAUGUAAAGUUCUAUCAGCAGGGAAGAUAAUGACGGUACCUGACUAAGAAGCACCGGCUAAAUACGUGCCAGCAGCCGCCGUAA
rnacentral:rRNA from 1 species